UCCCUAUAUUUAUUGAGGUUUGCUAAAUGGUUUCUGAUGAUCUCACAUAGUCGCCUAAAUUCUGUUGUCCGCUUGUAUUGUUUGCAGAAUUGGAAAGCUCGAUGCGCUGUCAUCGCAUAUAAUGCCUCCAACUUCGAGUUGUUUCGUAAUAUUUCAAGCACAGUUCUAUAGGUCUCCCACAGAAACUUGAACCAAGGGGUAACAAGUUCACGAUCAGACCUAUCCUUUCCCUUCUCUCCAGUGACAUAACUCAGCAUCAGGUCUUCUGGUCUCUUAUCUGCUUCAAGAUCAUCAACAUCCAGAGCUUCUUCUAGUGCUUGUGCCUGACUACGAGCUUGUUCAGCUUUCUCAGUGGAGAGAUGCAUGAAAUGCUUGAUUACCUCCUCCAAGGAAUUUACAUUCACUUGUUGGCACACUAUGCGAUACUGUAUUAAACCAUCCUUUGCAAACCUUCCCCUCCGCAUGUCAACACAAAGCUCCACAUAUUUGAACAUGAUCUUUUCAAGUGUCUUUUGCCAUGCUCGGUACCUCUUUGAGGUGAUGAGAUCAUGCAGAGCUUGCAAAGCAUCUUGCUUCUGCCCCACAUUUAUCAACUCUUCAGCUCGCUUUAAAGCGUUCUCUGGUUUGGCAAAAGUCGC
rnacentral:misc_RNA from 1 species